GGUUUGACCUGGAUAAGAAGGAGACGCUGUACUCUCUGGACCUGUAAACAUGAAGCUGUCCUGUUAUUGCAGCCAUGAGUUAUUUACAGGACUUGAAGGAGAGUGUUGAUAGUGAGUUGGAGCUGAAGAGGAGUAUGCUGAACCUGGGGUGAGAGCCAGAUAUUCUCAAACCAGGAAACAGAUACCCUCCUGGUCUAGUGAGCUCUGACCAGAACGAUAACAGGAGUAAACCUUUGGAGAUAAGGGGAUCUGGUUAAAUAAACAGUCUCGUCAAGAAAUAUACCUUCGUGGACGGUGCUCCACGCACUCAGUCGAUGCACCAAAUUUUCCACCGCAAGACGUGCUUUCCUCGUUCCUAGAGUAUAAAUGAACUGUGGAUAUUUACAGAAACAAGCGCGUGAGAAAUGGGUAUGAUGACUGAGCCUGCGUCCGGCAUUUGGCGUGAAGACCUAAUUGAAAAUUA